rnacentral:rRNA from 1 species
ACCAAUUGUUCGCCAAACAACUACGAGUCCUACUUAAAACUUAAAAGACUUGACGGUACUUCAUCACGGCCUAGAGGAGCCUGUCAAAUAACCGACAAUCCACGAUUAACCCAACCCCUUCUCGCCUUACAGUCUAUAUACCGCCGUCGCCAGCUUACCUUGUAAAAGAAAUAGAGUGAGCUAAAUAGCACCACACUAAAACGACAGGUCGAGGUGUAACCUAUGAAGAGGACUAAGAUGGGCUACAUUCUCCAACCAAGAAUACGAAUAACACUAUGAAAUUGAUGUUUGAAGGCGGAUUUAGCAGUAAGAUAAGAAUAAAAUACCUAACUGAACAUGACGCAAUGAAGUGCGUACACACCGCCCGUCACCCCUGUCACCACAAUAUUAGACUUAAUAAACCAACCAAAUAAAUCAAGCAGGGCAAGUCGUAACAAGGUAAGUGUACA